UGGGGCAGGGAAGGCGGGGGGCGAAGGGAAGUUACUGAGCUGCCCGGCCUCGGGACCCCGGCGGGGAUGCUCCUUCCGACCGAGGCCGAAGAAACUGCUCCCGGAGCCGGUCCUAGGGCUCGGGAAGUCUGAGACGCGGGGCGCGCGGCUGUUUUUGUUUUUCCUCAGGCCGGGGUGGGGGAGAGGAAGUGGUGAGCCGCUCGGAAGGAGGGGCUCCUUGAGGCAUCACUAGCGAGAGGUGUGACUGGAGUUACAAUGGCUGAGGAUGUGGCAGGGAAGACCGAGCAGGAGCAAGCAGCUGUCCUGGAGCAGUUGGAGGAGAUCAGAGACUGGACUGCCACUUGUCACAGAGGUUAAAGAAGGGAUUUGAUCUCCAAGGACAAAUCAGAGUUCCUUACCUGAAGCCGUUUCAUUGCCUCAGAGUCCUGGUCAGCCUUGACCUUGCAGGCCACAAGGAGCUGGGCUGUGGACGCAGCUACCUGCUUGGCUGAUGAGAUGAGCUUUUCCUGGCUGGCGUGGCCUUGUACAGCUGCAUUGGCUGCCUCACACAGAUUGUUGGUGGCUGCGGCCACCAUCCGGGCCUAAAGCGGGAGGGGUUAGAUUAAAAUAUACCUCUUA